rnacentral:rRNA from 1 species
GACGAACGCUGGCGGCGUGCUUAACACAUGCAAGUCGAACGGAAAGGCCCUGCUUGCCGGGUACUCGAGUGGCGAACGGGUGAGUAACACGUGGGUGAUCUGCCCUGCACUUCGGGAUAAGCUUGGGAAACUGGGUCUAAUACCGGAUAGGAACCAUCUUUAGUGUGGUGGUUGGAAAGUUUUUUCGGUGUAGGAUGAGCUCGCGGCCUAUCAGCUUGUUGGUGGGGUAAUGGCCUACCAAGGCGGCGACGGGUAGCCGGCCUGAGAGGGUGUACGGCCACAUUGGGACUGAGAUACGGCCCAGACUCCUACGGGAGGCAGCAGUGGGGAAUAUUGCACAAUGGGCGCAAGCCUGAUGCAGCGACGCCGCGUGGGGGAUGAAGGCCUUCGGGUUGUAAACUCCUUUCGCUAGGGACGAAGCUUUUUGUGACGGUACCUAGAUAAGAAGCACCGGCUAACUACGUG